CAAGUUGGCGACCGGCGCACGGGUGAGUAACGCGUAUGCAACCUACCUACAACAGAAGAAUAAUCCGGCGAAAGUCGGUCUAAUACUUCAUAAAACAGGGACACCGCAUGGUGUUAUUUGUUAAAGAUUUAUCGGUUGUAGAUGGGCAUGCGUACCAUUAGGUAGUUGGUGAGGUAACGGCCCACCAAGCCUACGAUGGUUAGGGGUUCUGAGAGGAAAGUCCCCCACACUGGUACUGAGACACGGACCAGACUCCUACGGGAGGCAGCAGUGAGGAAUAUUGGUCAAUGGGCGAGAGCCUGAACCAGCCAAGUCGCGUGAAGGAUGACGGCCCUAUGGGUUGUAAACUUCUUUUGCAGGGGAAUAAAGAUAUUCACGUGUGGGUAGUUGUAUGUACCCUGCGAAUAAGCAUCGGCUAACUCCGUGCCAGCAGCCGCGGUAAUACGGAGGAUGCGAGCGUUAUCCGGAUUUAUUGGGUUUAAAGGGUGCGUAGGUGGGCUAUUAAGUCAGUGGUGAAAGUUUGUCGCUCAACGAUAAAAUUGCCGUUGAAACUGGUGGUCUUGAGUAUGGAUGAAGUAGGCGGAAUGCGUGGUGUAGCGGUGAAAUGCAUAGAGAUCACGCAGAACUCCGAUUGCGAAGGCAGCUUACUAAGGCAUAACUGACACUGAAGCACGAAAGCGUGGGUAUCAAACAGGAUUAGAUACCCUGGUAGUCCACGCAGUAAACGAUGAUUACUAGGAGUUUGCGAUAUAGUGUAAGCUCUACAGCGAAAGCGUUAAGUAAUCCACCUGGGGAGUACGCCCGCAACGGUGAACUCAAAGAAUUGACGGGGCCCGCACAACGGANGAACAUGUGGUUAAUUCGAUGAUACGCGAGGAACUUUCCCGGGAUUGAAUGUACUGACGACUGCG
rnacentral:rRNA from 1 species